rnacentral:rRNA from 1 species
AUUGAACGCUGGCGGCAUGCUUUACACAUGCAAGUCGAACGGCAGCACGGACUUCGGUCUGGUGGCGAGUGGCGAACGGGUGAGUAAUACAUCGGAACGUACCCAGUAAUGGGGGAUAACUAUCCGAAAGGAUAGCUAAUACCGCAUACGCCCUACGGGGGAAAGAGGGGGAUCGCAAGACCUCUUGUUAUUGGAGCGGCCGACGGCUGAUUAGCUAGUUGGUGAGGUAAAGGCUCACCAAGGCGACGAUCAGUAGCGGGUCUUAGAGGACGAUCCGCCACACUGGAACUGAGACACGGUCCAGACUCCUGCGGGAGGCAGCAGUGGGGAAUCUUGGACAAUGGGCGCAAGCCUGAUCCAGCAAUGCCGCGUGCGUGAAGAAGGCCUUCGGGUUGUAAAGCGCUUUUGUCAGGGAGCAAAAGGUGGUGGCUAAUAUCCAUCGCUCUUGAGAGUACCUGAAGAAUAAGGACCGGCUAACUACGUGCCAGCAGCCGCCGCAGUAA